rnacentral:lncRNA from 1 species
UGAAAUCUUUACAGGCCACAUUUUAGUGACAUGAAUCGAAAAUAUGCACAGAUAAGAGCCUUCGAGAUACAUGGGACACAGUGGAAAAGUUUAAUGUAUAAAAUUGAAGUUCUAGAAAGAGAAAAGAGGAAAUAGGACUAAGAAAAAUUCAAAAAGAUAACUGAAUUUUCCAAACUUAAGCCAGUAUAUGAAUUUACUAAUUCAGGAAUCUUUGCAAACACUGAUCAGACUUAAAUAUAAUUUGGCCGGGUGCAGUGGCUGACACCUGUAAUCUCAGCACUUUGGGAGGCCAAGGCGGGCGGAUCACGAGAUCAGGAGUUCGAGACCAGCCUGGACAACAUAGUGAAACCCCAUCUCUACUAAAAAUACAAAAAAAUUAGCUGGGAGUGGUGGCGGGCAUCUGUAAUCCCAGAUACUCGGGAGGCUGAGGCAGGAGAAUCAAUCGCCUGAACCCGGGAGGCAGAGGUUGCAGUGAGCCGAGACAGUGCCAUUGCACCCCAGCCCAGGUGACAGUGUGAGACUACGUCUCAAAAAAAAAAAAAAAAAAAAGAAAACCACAACAACAAAAAUAUAUAUAUAUAUAAUUUAAGAACAUACAGUGUUAUAUCAUAGUCAAUAUGCUGAAAAUAAAUGAGAAAAAAAUCUUGAACCAAACCAGCAAGAAUAAACACAUUUAUUUCAAACAAGUGACAAUGAAGACCACAAGAAAACAAUGAAAGCCAGAAGAAAAUGGAAUAACAUUUUUAAAAUGACAAUGUAAAAUAGAGUAAGUCAAUGAAAAUAUCCUGUAAAAAAUAAAGAUGUUUACAGUAAAACAAUAACUGAGAGAACAUUUCCUAAGCAGGUCAAAGGAAAAUAAAUACUCAAUGUAGUUCUGUAGGAAGAAGUGAAUUACAUACUUGGUGAUGCGGACUUAUGAAGAGGAAUGAAGAGCACGAUUAAGACUAAAAAGUGGGAAAGCAGUAAAGGAAGCUAAAGUGUCCUUAAUUUCUACCAUGAUUGUGAAAGGACUAAGAGUAAUUUUCUUAUUCGACUGUGAUAAUCUAGGAUGCAAAUUAUAGUUACUAAAAUAACAAUGAAAAACUAGUAAAAAUAUGUACUUAAGAAGUUAAUACCAGAAAAUUUCUUUAAAAAUGAAUUAAUCCAAGGGAAAAUGACAGGGAAGAAGACAAAAAACAAAGAGCUAAUAGAAAACAGUCAGUAGAUUAUAGAUAUACACCCAACUAUAUCACAUGAAAUUAAAUUGAUUACACAUUUUUUGUAAAAGACUAAGAUUGUCAGACUGGAAAAAAUAUGUUGAUUACUUUAGACACUCAUCAAAACUCAAACAGAAAUUUGAUGGUAGGAAUAGAGUAUAAAUAGUGCUAUACUAACUUUAACCAAAAGAAAAGUGGUAUAGCUGCCACAACAAAAUAAUUUACAAUCUUUUCAAGUUCACUUGAAACGUUUACCAAUAUUGAUUAUAUGUUGGGCCAAAAGAAUGUCUCAACAUAUUUCCAAAGAUGAAAAUCAUGCAGAGUAUUUUCACUGACCAUGGUUAAAUUAAGCUAAAAAUUAAUAAAAUAAGUAAUUAUAAAUGUCCCCCACUGCUUAGAAAUUAAAUACUGCAUUUUUAAACCAUUAUUCAAAUAAAAAAUCACAAUGAGUAUUAAGCAACAUUUUAAAUGGAAAGAUACAAAGAUACACUACAUUAAAACCGGUAGGGUGCUGCAGAAAUAGUGUUCAAAGGAAAAUUCAUAGAAAAGAAAAGAACUGAAUGUUAAAGAUUUGGGUCAAAGAAACCAUUCGAAGAACAGCAAAUUAAACGCAAAGUGGAAGGGAGGAAUGAAUAAAAAUAAGAGCAUAAAUAAAUGAAAUAGAAAGCAACGUGCAAUAAAGGAAAUCAACAAAGUCAAAUACUGGAUCUUUAAAAACAACUAGCAUAAAUGAUAGAUCACUGGCAAAAUUAAACAAGAAAGUAAAAGAAAAGACCACAAAUAACCAAACCAGAAUGUAAAGGAUUCAUGUUUGUAGAACCUACAAGCAAAAAAAAAAAAAAAAAACCACAGGAGAUAUUACAAAAACAUUACACAAAAAUAUUUGCUAAUGUAUAUAAACUCCUCCAAAAACAUACAUUACUGAAAUGACAGAAGAAGGGAUAGCAAAACAUGAAUUUUGGCAGUAUGGAGAUGUACUGCUUUGAUUUCGCAUUAAGGAAACCCUUGCCAUUUGGCAGCAAGUAAUGUAGUAAGCAAUCUAGCUGAUAGCAACUUAAGUAUCCAUUUCACCUUGGAGAAUGAGACCAUACUCUUCUCAGGCAGCCCCAGUCAAUAAGUGAGCACAACAGGGGUAGAGCCUAGACUCUUCUUCCAAAUGUGGAACUCUUCUAAGAGGCAAUUUUUCAUUGGAGUAGCCAUUAGGUUGGCUGAGACUGUCAUAUUUGCAUCAAGACCUCAAGGCUCUCCCUCAUCAAUCUUGUUUCUUCUCCAUUUUAUGUUUCAUAGGCAUUAAUUCCUGAAUGGAUUAACUCUCACAUUCCUAAGUCUACAUCAGAAAUAUCUUCUGUAGAACACAACUAACACGUAAAUACACAGUUACCUUUUAAAGAAAUCCCAUCCAUUUUUUAAAACUUUUCCAGAAGACAACCCCAGGACCAGAGAGCUUUAUUAAUGAAUUAUUUUGAACUUUUAAGUAAAAAAUAACACAGUCCUGUACAAACUCUUCCAGAGAGUAGAAGAGGAGGCAAGGGUGUGUUUCUCAGCCCAUUCAUAAGGCUAUCAUAGCCCAACAAGAAUGUCACAAGAAAAAAGAGAUGGCAGGCCAAUCACCACUCAUCAACAUGAUGGAAAAAUUCUAAUAAACUUCUUGUAAAUUAAAUCUAGUUAUAUAUAAGGAAAGAUUAUAUAUAAUACAUAAUCAUUAUUUAUGUAUAAUGAAGUUGGGCUCAUUCAAGUAGGCAAAGUGGUUUAACCUUCAAAAACUCAAUAAAUGAAGUUCUGUUUGUGAACAAAGAAGAAAAAUGCCACAUGGUCAUCUCCGAAGACUCUGAAAAAGCAUUUGAUAAACAUUAACACACAUUUGUGAAGAACUCUGUAUGAAUAGAAUGGAUUUCCUUAAUCUGCUAAAAUAUGUUUACCAAAAACUACACAAAAAUAUGUUUAUUGGUGAAAUUUUGCAUCUUUGUUUCUAGAAACAAAAAAAGGAUGGCUUCCAACCUCAAUUCAACUUAGUGUUGAACUAGAGAUCUUAGUAAGUGCAGUGAAGCAAAAAUAAAUAAGUAAAUAAAUAAAACUAAGGACACAUGGAUUAUAAAGAAAGAAAUAAAACUCCCAGCAUUCUCAGAUGAUAUGACUAUGUACAUAGAAAAUCUGAGCAAGUCAACAGAAUGUGAGAAUCAAUAAGCAUAUUUUUGCAAAUCACUUGUCCAAGGACAAUAUUCAAACAUCAAUCAUGUUUCUAUAAAACAUAAUGCAAAAUAAAAUUAAAAAAUAUUGAGAAAAGCAUUUAAUAUAUAUUAAAUACCUAGGAAACAUGUAAUGGAACAUGUUCAAGAUUUUUUCAGUGAAGAAUAUAAAAUAUUGCAAAUGAAAAUUAAAGAAGUCCUAAAUUAAGACAAGACUAUACCAUAUUCAAGAUUUAAAAACUCACUGUUUCAAACAUGUCAAUUGUUUCUAAAAUUAUCAAUAUAUUUGACAUACCUCCCCUUGAAAUCCAGUGGAUUUUUUCUGGUAGAAAGCAACAAGCUAAUUAUAAAAUGUUAGUGGACAUAAAAAAGACCAAGAAUAGUCCUGAAUUCUUGAAAAGUAGAAAAAAAGAUGCAUUCAUAUUGGCAUAUAUUAAAAUUUUUAUAGAGCUAUAAAAAAUGUGGUUUCAGAAAUGUUUCUGGAACAAUUGGUUGUCCUUAUUUAAAAAAAGAAAUUUCAAAGAUUUCCAAUGUGUUAAUCAUACAUUUUCUUAAAAAGGAUAAUGUGUUGAGAUUGAUUCUAAGGACAUCUGUCUAUCAAAACAUACCGUUAGGAAAAGGGAGGAGGCAAUCCACAGAAUGGGAGAAGAUAUUUGCAAUGUAUAUAUUCCAUAAAAAACUUGUAUCCACAGUGCUUAAAAAUUGAUUUUAAACAAGCAGAAAAUCUAAUGGAAAAAAGUGAGUGAAAGACUAAAUAGUUACUUCAUAAAAGGAUAUUCAAACACCCAGCAAACAUGUGAAGUGACCUCCAUUUCAUUAGUUAUAAUGGAGAUGAAAAUCAAAAUUCCUUUGUGAUAGCAUAGCAGUACACAUCCACUAGAAUGGUCAAAAUGACAGACAGACAACACUAAAUAUUGGUAAAUAUGUAGAAUAACUAGACUAUCAUGAAAGUCUUGGUGCAAAUGUAAAUUGGUACAACCAUUUUAAACAACUAGUGGGCAGUACUGCUAAAAUUCAACAUAUCCAUAAUAUAUGACCCAACAAUUUAAUUCUAGAUAUACACUCAAUAGAAAUGAAUAUACAUAUAUACAUAUAUAUUCAUAUUCUAUAUAUUCUUAUAUAUUCAUUUCUAUUGAGAGAUACACAUAUAUGUUUAUCAAAAGACAACAAAAAUGUUCAAAGCAGCACUAUUUAGAAUAGUUAAAAACUAGAAGCAACUCAAAUGGAAUGAAUUAAAUCCAAAGCAAACCAAAACAAAAAAAACUUGUAAUAUAAACAACAGUGGACAUCUACACCUCAAUGAGCAAAAAAAUCUACUACGAAUAUUUGCAACAGUAUGAAUGAGUCUCAUAAAAAUAAAGCCAGACACAAAGUGUAUGUACAAUUCCAUUUAUAGAGUCUGUGAUGUAAAUUUCAGGAUAGUGGCUACCUUUAAGUUAAUAACUGAAUGGGCAAAAGAGGGGCUUCUGAGGUCCUGGGAAUGUUUUGGUUCUUCAUAUAUUAAGUUUGUGAAAAAUCAUGAAGCAUAUACUUAUGACCCGUGUACUUCUUUGUAUAUAUGUUACCCUUUAAUUAAAAAGUUUAAACGUAUGCAAACUAGACCCCUAAAAAUUAUUACAGAAACUUCUUUCAAUUAAGCUAGAUUUUGGAUUUUUUUCCUUCCCAAAAGUUACCAGUGUGCUGAGAAUUACAUUAAAUACAAUUAUUUUCAUCCAAACUGCCUCUGUAUAAGAGCUACAAUACCAAAUACAGACCACCUCAUUUACACAAGCCAAUUUCAUCAAUUAAAGUAUAAUUAUUUAAUAAGUAGAAACUAAUAAAAACGAACACAUCUUUCUGUGUUUCAUGAGAUUUGUGAUGUUACUUUAAUCUGUAGAUUGAACUUAUCCUAAGAAAAUAUAUUUAUUUUAUCUUAAACAUCACAGCUCAAAUUCAGUUUAAUAAAACCAAUAUUGCUUUACCAUACCACAAACUGCUCUGCAUUGUUAUUUAUACAAUUCUUCUAUUCCCAACAAAUUAAUCUAUUCUGCAAAUAUUUACUGAAAACCUGCUGUCUGACACUACAAUGUGCUGGGAAUAAAAGGCAGAGGAUAAGAUAGUGGUCUCUUCAGGCUUGCACUUUCCUGGAUGGAAACAGACACAACACAAUUUCCCCAAAAUCACUAAAUUAUAAUGACAAUUGCUCUAAAGAUGGAUUACAGCAUCCUGAGCACAGAUGUAAGAGAAUAACUGAACUGUUUCUCUGAGAACAAACAGUUCAAACUGCUAUCUAUAAGAUCCAUAGAAAUGAAUUGAACAAGAAGAGGAGAGGAGUAUUCUAAGCAGAGACUAAGAAUAUCUUAAAGUCGAGUGGUUAAAAAAAGAAGGAUGAAUGUGAAGAUCAAAAGAUCCCAGUGUCUGGAGUUCUAACAGUCAGUAGAUAAUCAGCUGGAGCCUCAGUAGGGACAAGAUCCUGCAGAGCUUUAUAAAGUAUGUUAUUAAAAUUUAUUUUCCUCCUAAAAACAAGGAAAGGCACUGAAUAGUUUUAAGCAGAGGAGGGACAGGAUCAAUUACAUGUUGUUCAUGUUGUAAUCUCUCUGGCUGCAAUGCAGACAAUGGUUUGUGAGGCAAGUCACACAGCUGCAUGUAGACCAAAGAAGAAGCUAUUAUAGAAAUUCAGGAAGGGAAAAUUGGUGUCUUGAAAUUGAUUGAUUGUGUGGAGAUGGCAUGUAAUAGAUGAUUUUGGGAGAUAUUUAGAAAAUAACGUUGAAUAGAUACGUUUGUGUUGUAGAGAAACUGUUGAGUAAAACCCUUCCAGCUGGUACUGUGGGUAUGUAUUGAUGCUGCUUAUUAAGAUAGGGAAUAUGGAGAAAACAGAGAUGAGAUUCCACAUUUAGUUGCCUCAGUAACUGUGAAGCUUCCAGUGGGAUGUUGAGAAGAGAGAUUGAGGCCCACACUGGCUGGUUAACUGACAAAUCACUGUCCCCCCUUUUUUUUUUUCUGGGAACACAGCUACCUCCAUUUCUUGGGGUUUUCUGAAGUUAGGUGCAGCUAUGCGGCUGAAUUGUAGAAUCCGGGCAGAAGCCUGGUUCAUAACUGCUGCACAGUCCAGUCCCCUCUGUUUCUGGUUACUGACUGAGGAAGAUGAGUGGAGGCUUGAGUGUGACGGGAUAGCAGCCUGCCCUCAGUGACUGCAAGGGGCAGAGCUCCCUCUAAUGAUUCCUAGUGUGCUGCAAAGUAAAUGAGAAACAGAAAUGCACGGUAGAAGCCUAAGCCACUGAGACUUCAGGA